rnacentral:rRNA from 1 species
ACGGGGGGGGCAAGCGUUGUUCGGAAUUACUGGGCGUAAAGGGCGCGUAGGCUGCUCGCUAAGUCGGGUGUGAAAACUCUGGGCUCAACCCAGAGCCUGCAUUCGAAACUGACGAGCUAGAGUUCUGGAGGGGAAAGCGGAAUUCCUGGUGUAGCGGUGAAAUGCGUAGAUAUCAGGAGGAACACCGGUGGCGAAGGCGGCUUUCUGGACAGAAACUGACGCUGAGGCGCGAAAGCUAGGGGAGCAAACAGGA